GUGUCAGCAGCCGCGGUAAUACGUAGGGGGCAAGCGUUGUCCGGAUUUACUGGGUGUAAAGGGCGCGCAGGUGGAUUAGCAAGUCAGAGGUGAAAUCCUACAGCUUAACUGUAGAACUGCCUUUGAAACUGUUGAUCUUGAGUGCGGAAGAGAGAAGCGGAAUUCCAGGUGUAGUGGUGAAAUACGUAGAUAUCUGGAAGAACACCAGUUGCGAAGGCGGCUUCUUGGUCCGUAACUGACACUCAGGCGCGAAAGCGUGGGGAGCAAACAGGAUUAGAUACCCCGGUAGUCC
rnacentral:rRNA from 1 species